CUCUGAGGACAUCUUUACCUGACAGUAUUAGAAGAAGUGAAUCAGUCUAAUGCUAUCCGGUAAGAUGCCGCCAGA
rnacentral:pre_miRNA from 1 species